GAUGAACGCUAGCGGCAGGCCUAAUACAUGCAAGUCGAGGGGCAUCUCCGGUCUCCGGACCGGAAGCGACCGGCGAACGGGUGCGUAACGCGUAUGCAACCUGCCCACAACUGGGGCAUAGCUCCCGGAAACGGGAAUUAAUUCCCCAUAAUGCAGGGGUACCGCAUGGUACUAUUUGCUAAAGAUUUACCGGUUGUGGAUGGGCAUGCGUCUGAUUAGUUCGUUGGUGAGGUGACGGCUCACCAAGACUGCGAUCAGUAGGGGGUCUGAGAGGAUGAUCCCCCACACUGGCACUGAGAUACGGGCCAGACUCCUACGGGAGGCAGCAGUAGGGAAUAUUGGGCAAUGGGCGAAAGCCUGACCCAGCCAUGCCGCGUGAAGGAUGAAGGCCUUCUGGGUUGUAAACUUCUUUUAUACAGGAAGAAAAAGGCCAUGCGUGGCCAAUUGACGGUACUGUAUGAAUAAGCACCGGCUAACUCCGUGCCAGCAGCCGCGGUAAUACGGAGGGUGCAAGCGUUGUCCGGAUUUAUUGGGUUUAAAGGGUGCGCAGGCGGUGAUGUGAGUCAGUGGUGAAAUCUCCCGGCUUAACCGGGAAACUGCCAUUGAUACUGCUUCACUUGAGUACGGACGAGGUAGGCGGAAUUUAUGGUGUAGCGGUGAAAUGCAUAGAUACCAUAAAGAACACCGAUAGCGAAGGCAGCUUACUAGACCGUAACUGACGCUCAGGCACGAAAGCGUGGGGAGCAAACAGGAUUAGAUACCCUGGUAGUCCACGCCGUAAACGAUGAUCACUCGAUGUGUGCGAUACACUGUACGCGUCCAAGCGAAAGCAUUAAGUGAUCCACCUGGGGAGUACGUCGGCAACGAUGAAACUCAAAGGAAUUGACGG
rnacentral:rRNA from 1 species